UACGGAGGGUGCAAGCGUUAUCCGGAUUCACUGGGUUUAAAGGGUGCGUAGGCGGGCAGGUAAGUCCGUGGUGAAAUCUCUGAGCUUAACUCAGAAACUGCCAUGGAUACUAUUUGUCUUGAAUAUUGUGGAGGUAAGCGGAAUAUGUCAUGUAGCGGUGAAAUGCUUAGAUAUGACAUAGAACACCGAUUGCGAAGGCAGCUUACUACACAGUUAUUGACGCUGAGGCACGAAAGCGUGGGGAUCAAACAGG
rnacentral:rRNA from 1 species